rnacentral:rRNA from 1 species
UCGAGGAUCUUCGGCAAUGGGCGCAAGCCUGACCGAGCGACGCCGCGUGUGCGAUGAAGGCCUUCGGGUUGUAAAGCACUGUCGAGGGGGAGAAAGCCGCAAGGUUGAUCGACCCCUGGAGGAAGCACGGGCUAAGUUCGUGCCAGCAGCCGCGGUAAGACGAACCGUGCGAACGUUGUUCGGAUUCACUGGGCUUAAAGGGCGCGUAGGCGGGUGGUCAAGUCCGGGGUGAAAGCUUUCGGCUCAACCGGAAAAGGGCCUUGGAUACUGACCAUCUAGAGGGAGGUAGGGGCAGGUGGAACUUCCGGUGGAGCGGUGAAAUGCGUAGAUAUCGGAAGGAACGCCGGUGGCGAAAGCGGCCUGCUGGAUCUCUACUGACGCUGAGGCGCGAAAGCUAGGGGAGCAAACGGGAUUAGAUACCCCGGUAGUCCUAGCCCUAAACGAUGGGUACUAGAUGUAGCGGGUACUCAUUCCUGCUGUGCCGCAGCUAACGCGUUAAGUGCUCCGCCU